GCCAAGGUAAAUUCAAUUUUCAAUUCUAGGGCACCUUUAAACUGGAUGUGUUGUUCCCCAAGCGAGCCGCACAAGUCCUGAAAAGUGAAGCCGAAGCAUCUCGAUCGCCCCCAGGUGGUUGGUCCCAGUAUAGGUCAUAAACCCCGCCCUCUCCAUGUAAUUUAAUGUGACAUGAGACAAGCUAAAAUCAAAUUACAUUUUAUGUAGUUUUUAUCACGCUGAUGUAAGUUCAUGUGUUUUUUUUUUGUUUGUUUUUUGUUUUUUUAAAUAAGUUUGGUUUUAGUUAUAUGAUGUGAUAAAAAUGGGGGUAUAACGUCAUGAUUGACAGCUUGAUUGACAGCUUCUCUGAGUGAAGUAGUCACUGAGGCACUAACAGACUUUUUUCGGGAGGAGAUUGGAGCUUUAACUUUAAUUUCUACAUUUUCAUAACUUUCAUAACGAUUUUGCGGGUAGUUCUUGAUGUGCACGCUGCACGCUGUGUGGCUCCACUUCAUGCUCACUACUGUGCAGACUCUACUACAGUAGUGAAAUAGGUUGUAAUUAGUCAAGACAUCUCCUAAAGGAGACCUGAUUCCUGUGGGGGGACUCGAUUUCUCAUGACAGCGGCUUCCCUUUUCUGCAAUGGAAGAGAGUGGAGGUGCAUCAUCCAUAUUUUUUAAAGUCUAUGGUUGUUCCAGAUAAGUUCAGGAAAAUUAAAAUGACAGUGUAUAAAAUGCAGCAUGACAUUAGAUGCAGUCCAUCAAAAAGACAAAUUAUUUGUAGCACUUUCCUGCAGAUUGUUUUUGAUCAGUACAUUGUGACAGGCUGCAGAUUUUAUGGAAGAGAAUUAAUUUAGUUUUGCAUAUGAAGAAAUGGUUGUGAAAAGCGAAAUCUGUUUGUAAAAGAAAAAUCACAUGCGUUAUAAUCUGUCAAAUCUCAUCAGACGUGUUCAACAAAGCACAAUCAGUGACUUCAGUGUGCAUGCGGUCGGGGGUCGCGACACGCUCCUGAAGCAGACCUGAUUGCAUCUAUUGAUAUGAGAAAGAACACGAGAAAAGAAAAGCAGAAAAGCAGUAGACAAAAAAACGGAAUCAAGAUUCAAAAUGAGAAGGGGGAAGAUGGGGAGGUGAGAAGGAAAAAUGGAGAGGGAGGGUUUAUUUUAGAGCAUGUUCACGUCUUGAACAGGUGCUGCUGCGUGCUGAGAGUGUCUGAGGACAGUUUGAGUAUCUGAUCUGAGUCAUGCACAGAUAUGACUCACAAACCACACCAGUCCUUAUCAACAUACAUAGAAAGAGAGAGAGAGAGGAGGGACGUCUGGGUGUCUUUUAACACCUUUCUUCAGUACCUGGUGACAGUCUCUUAUGUAAGCUUUGUAUUUCUGGUUUAAUUCAGACUCAUUGGAUGGCUAAAUUAGGUGGCCCAUGUGGUAAAAUGGCAUCUACUUCUAGAGCGCUCUGAGAAUGCUGAAGCUCUUUUAACAUUAUAACUGUAGAUCCAAGUGCCAAGCCUUACAAAAUGUUCAAUGGUACAGUAAUGGUAUCAGAUGGUAACAUUUUCGACUUUGACAUAUUUCAUACAGUAGCAUUUUAAUAUUUCUGCUCCUAUGAGUAAUUUGUUUUAUUCUGUUGAUCACCUUAAUGUUAAAGGUAGGGUAGGCAGGCAAUUUCAAAGAGGCAAGCAAUAGCAAGCUAGCUUUGAAACAGAUCCUCCAAGCUAGCUUUGAAAGAUCCCCCCUCCCUUCAGAGCAUUCUCCAAAGCCAUGCCUCCUCCAAAAUCAGACAGAGUCUGCAAAACGUCACGAGACACGGUGUUAAAUUACCUCGUGUCUCAAAGCACAUAACAUUAUAAUAGAGAGCUCUUACUUGUACAACCUGACUGCUGCAGAUUAAUUUCGGUGUUGAUAGUGUUGACAUAGAAAUGCAAAAAUCCAAGCCUGAGAACAUGGACAACUCUGCAUAGCCUCAUGGAAAGCGCUUGGGUGAUGUCUGCGCGAAGCUAUGGAAAUACAUAUGUUGACAGGACAUCAUAUCAUUCAGACCGAAUGCAAUGACUGGACGAAAUUUAGAUAUCGGUAUCAGCCAUUAAAAUCCUGUUGGCCACUACUGCAGUUAUAACUUACAUCAGGUUCUGUCUGGUGAAGAAUCACCUGGAGGGCCCUUAGAUCCAGGCUUCAUGAUGAGUCCUCGAGCCUGAAUGAUCUCCACCUCCAGCUGCCCGUUCCUCUCCAUCAGACCGAUCUCAACAUCUCCUGCAAAACAUCAACGCACAUUAAAGAGUGUCAAGUGACAUAUGGGUGAAUACAGGAACCAAAAAUGUAACAGCUGUGGUCAUGGCUAUGAUGGACUGCAAUUUGUGGAAUAGGCCGCAUGAAGAUUCUUCAAAACAUCUCCUUUUGUGUUCCACAGAGGAAAGGCAGUCAUACGGGUUUGGGACGACAUGAGGAGCUAAUAUAAGACUACAUCGUGCAAAACCCAGAACCUGUGGCUUUGAUGUGACACGCCGGACGGUGUCCAGAUCUGAAAUGAGUUUACAGUACAUCUACACAGAAUUCUGGAUUUCAUUCAGAAAUGGAGCCGGCAGAGAAAAGCUGUUCAUGCUGUCCUCUAUGGACUCGUGGCUCGCCUGCCGGACCGUACGACUGGGCAUCUCUACGGCCAGACCUGUCUCUGUACUCCUCUGAAUGCUCUUUAGCCUGCGGCCCUCUGGGUCUGAAACAAACAAAGAAAG